ensembl:piRNA 21ur-1951 ncRNA
UUACAUUCAGAAUAUCCAUAA